rnacentral:misc_RNA from 1 species
GAUGAAGAACGCAGCGAAAUGUGAUAAGUAAUGUGAAUUGCAGAAUUCCGUGAAUCAUCGAAUCUUUGAACGCACAUUGCGCCCCCUGGCAUUCCGGGGGGCAUGCCUGUCCGAGCGUCAUUUCUGCCCUCCAGCCCGGCUGGGUGUUGGGCGCUGUCCCCCCGGGGACACGCCCCAAAGGCAGUGGCGGCGCCGCGUCGGGUCCUCGAGCGUAUGGGGCUUUGUCACCCGCUCGGGACGGACUCGUCGGCGCUGGUCUUCCUCCAGGCGACCCUUCGGGGCUCGUCUUCCUUCGGUUGACCUCGGAUCAGGUAGGGUUACCCGCUGAACUUAAGCAUAUCAAUAAGCGGAGGA